GCCAGAGGCCAAUCACCCUGUAACUCACAACUGGCGACCCACUGAAGCUAAGCGAGUGUGAACCUUGUCAGUACCUGGAUGGGAGACCUCCUGGGAAAAACUAAGGUUGCUGCUGGAA
rnacentral:rRNA from 1 species